GAUGAACGCUGGCGGCGUGCCUAAUACAUGCAAGUCGAGCGAACAGACGAGGAGCUUGCUCCUCUGACGUUAGCGGCGGACGGGUGAGUAACACGUGGAUAACCUACCUAUAAUACUGGGAUAACUUCGGGAAACCGGAGCUAAUACCGGAUAAUAUAUUGAACCGCAUGGUGCAAUAGUGAAAGACGGUUUUGCUGUCACUUAUAGAUGGAUCCGCGCUGCAUUAGCUAGUUGGUAAGGUAACGGCUUACCAAGGCGACGAUGCGUAGCCGACCUGAGAGGAUGAUCGGCCACACUGGAACUGAGACACGGUCCAGACUCCUACGGGAGGCAGCAGUAGGGAAUCUUCCGCAAUGGGCGAAAGCCUGACGGAGCAACGCCGCGUGAGUGAUGAAGGUCUUCGGAUCGUAAAACUCUGUUAUUAGGGAAGAACAAAUGUGUAAGUAACUAUGCACGUCUUGACGGUACCUAAUCAGAAAGCCACGGCUAACUACGUG
rnacentral:rRNA from 1 species